rnacentral:rRNA from 1 species
CUUUUAUGAUUGGGUUUAUAUGAAGCUUUCACUACUUGGUAUAUUCAUUUACUUCUAACUUUGAACUGUUACUAACUAGGGGAAUCCGACUGUUUAAUAAAAACAAAGCAUUGAGAAUUUUUUUAGGAUUGAAAAUGUCUUUAACUCAAUGUGAUUUCUGCCCAGUGCUCUGAAUGUCAAUGUGAAGAGAUUCGAUGAAGCGCGGGUUAACGGCGGGAGUAACUAUGACUCUCUUAAGGUAGCCAAAAUGCCUCGUCAUCUAAUUAGUGACGUGCAUGAAUGGAUUAACGAGAUUCCUACUGUCCCUAUCUGCAAGCUAGCGAAACCACAGCGCAGGGAACGGUCUGCGUAAAAUGUAUAGCGGGGAAAGAAGACCCUAUUGAGCUUGACUCUAGUUUGUAUUUGUGAAAUGAUAUUAAGGGUGUAGCAUAAGUGGGAGAAGAAAUUCGAUCUUGAAAUACCACUACUUUAAUCAUUGCUUUACUAAGGAGAUAAUAGACAGACAAACAUACAGCAAUGUA